rnacentral:lncRNA from 1 species
GGAAAUUUUCUUAUUAAAAAAAGAUGUGUCCAAUGGGAAAAGUGGUAGUUCCAUCUCCUUACUGGAACAAUAGAUGGCAAAUGUACAUUCAGUUUCAUUUACAGCAGACCCUGAGCACCAACUCUAUUUUCAGCCCUGAACUGGCCACUGGGCAUAUGGAGGUGAAUGGGACACUGCCAAAUAGCCAGGUGAAGUCAACGGUAAUUUCCUGCAUGUUAGAGGCCCAGGAAAUGUAUAAUGAUGAGAAAACUUGUCC